GACGAACGCUGGCGGCGUGCCUAACACAUGCAAGUCGCACGGGACCCGCAAGGGUUCAGUGGCGGACGGGUGCGUAACACGUGAGGAACAUGCCUAUCGGCGGGGGAUAGCCGGCCCAACGGCCGGGUAAUACCGCGUACGCUCAUCGGGGGGCAUCCCCUGGUGAGGAAAGCAGCAAUGCACCGAUAGAGUGCCUCGCGGCCUAUCAGCUAGUUGGUGAGGUAAUGGCUCACCAAGGCAACGACGGGUAGCUGGUCUGAGAGGAUGAUCAGCCACAUUGGGACUGAGACACGGCCCAGACUCCUACGGGAGGCAG
rnacentral:rRNA from 1 species